rnacentral:misc_RNA from 1 species
GAUGAAGAACGUAGUGAAAUGCGAUAAGUAAUGUGAAUUGCAGAAUUCAGUGAAUCAUCGAAUCUUUGAACGCACAUUGCGCCCGCCAGUAUUCUGGCGGGCAUGCCUGUUCGAGCGUCAUUUCAACCAUCAAGCCCCGGGCUUGUGUUGGGGACCUGCGGCUGCCGCAGGCCCUGAAAUGCAGUGGCGGGCUCGCUGUCACUCCGAGCGUAGUAAUACAUCUCGCUCUGGACGUGCUGCGGGUUCCGGCCGUUAAAAGCCUUAUUUAACCAAGGUUGACCUCGGAUCAGGUAGGAAGACCCGCUGAACUUAAGCAUAUCAAUAAGCGGAGGA